AUGUUUGGUAUCUUGGCAGAGCAAUGUGGAAUAUAUAUCUGCAGAUCAUAUCACAUCUAUGAUAUAAGAAAUGGUAGUACUAUAGUUGAAGCCAAUGUGGGAAUCCCCAUGACGGCAGUGAGAAAUGAGAGUAUUAAAGUCAUCGAAACACUAGAAAAAUUGACGAGCUAUAUCUCCAGCACACCUUACCUUGACAACUAUACUAUGAAUUAUACAGACAGUUUUGAUAAGUUUAAAGUUUUAAUACAAGAUGAUUGUAAUGCUGUGGGUGCAGUAUGUGAAAGUUGGUUAUAUGAAUGUACAAAUAGCGCCUGUAUACAUAGAUGCGAAGGUAAAGACUGUGGACAACAUGGAGAGUGUACUGCAACUGAUGAAAAUCCUCUAAUCUGCAGGUGUUCCAGUGAUGAUUUAUAUAGUUACUAUGGUGAUAAAUGUGAAAAUAGUAACAUAAAGUGGGAAAUACUUGUCAGUAUCACAGCAGCUGUUGGAGUUGUUCUACUGAUUAUAUUAACAAUAGCCUUCAUCUGUUACUGUCAGAGAUCUGGGAAGAGUUCAGAACGGGGAUACCAGAAGGAUUUUGAUGAUGCUUCAUAUAAUCCUGGUGACAUUUCACUACAGGAAUAUUCACAACGACAAGAAGACAAAAUAAACCGCUAUGGAGAACUAAAAGAUGGCGGUGUCACUAAUACUGUCUAUCAACCGUCUGGGUAUGAUCAUCUACAUGAAGCUGACCCAAGAUAUCGUGGUUAUCCAGAUAAUGAUGAUGGGCUAAAUAGCAGCAGGACACAUGCCGAGGUUACUACAUUUUCAUCAUCCUAUGAAUACAUAGAUCCCCAAAUGGACUAUAGAAUAAAAAGACCCCAAGUCUCCAUUGAGCCAGUGACAAACACCAGAUUCUAAAUCAAGGUGUGUAAGAGGAGAACAACUAAGGAGAAGAAAUUGUAGAUCUGUUUGUUGGCCGGAUCGAUGUUAAUAUCCCUCAUCUCUAACUGGAAUCCCAAUGGCCGACUGGCAUCAGGUGUUCCGAAACUCUUUGUAUAUUUUUGUUUCACAGUGAAACGUUAUUACAUCAACCAUCUUUAAUUGUUUAUUUCUAACAAAUCGAAAAAAAAAAAUUCCAAAAUUAUUCUACACAAAACCUAUGGGUUUUCAAAUCCACAUUUAUAUUAUUUUUUAUAUGAAAAGACUAUUAAUGAGUGUGUUAGAAUCUCGAGCAAGUGAAGAUGCUCGUAUAUCGUAUUUUAUAUCUUUCCUAAAAUAUUUUUAAAGAGGGUGCUGUGUCAGAGCUAAAUUUAACUACCGGUAUUACAGAUUUUUGGACCAGCAACUGGUCGCUCACAGCUACUCGCCUUGUUCUUGCUGUUGUUUAUGGGGUGACACUCUUCCAAAAAAAACCUAAGGCUCCGCCAAUUCCUGUCCGAUCGACGUGAUAGUUACCAUGCCUGUUAUUUGAACAAUUCUGCAUCGAUUUGGUCAGUUCCUGGUCAAUAGUACGAUCGAACUCGUUUAUUCUAGCUUGAAUGUUAUAUAAACUAUUAUUGCACAUUUAUUCACAUGAUAAGCAAAUAACUCGUUUAUUCUAGCUUGAAUGUUAUAUAAACUAUUAUUGCACAUUUAUUCACAUGAUAAGCAAAUAAUUAACUCUCUAGAAUUUUGACUAACAAAAUGAAGGGAUUAGACACAAUGACCGUCAUAUUUUUAGGUAUAACUUAUAUUGUUUUUUAUCGAUUUUGAUUAAAAUGGAAUUACAUUUCCAAUUGAUUUAUUAUUCAUUUGAAAUAUUUAUAACCCGUGUUACGUAUGGAACUUAUGUUAUUUUAAUCAUAAUAUGCCUCAUUACGUAUUUUGAUUUGUUAUUUUAAUCAUAA